rnacentral:lncRNA from 1 species
GGUUCCCACCGGUAUCGCGGGGCUGGCAGAUCACGGCGCGCAGUGGAAGUAGAGUGAGUGGUGGAAGAAAGCUACAAUUUUACUUUUAAUUGCAAUGAUUUGAUGCAUAUUCGAGAUUACUUUAGGAAAAUACUCGGAAAGUGAACAUCGGAGUGCGCCGGAUGGAUGGUUUCACCUAGUUGUUUGAUCUUUGGUCAACUUCUUCACACAGAGGAGUUGUUACAGAAAGUGCGGCGACCUCUUCACGUCAGCAGUUCGGGUGCUCGUUUCUGAUACACAGUGGAAUGGUUCCGUUGUAACCGGAACCUAUGAUAUGAGUAUCUUCAAGGCGACACUUUAUAUGCAGGCAUUUUUCGCUUUCAUAAAUCGCUUUAUAAAACGAUCACAUCUACUAGUGGCUAUAUGUGCAGCCGAGUACAAGAAAAAAUUAUCGAUCCUAUAAUAGGAUAGCAAUAAAGGGCGGCGCGGAGCCCGGGGGGCACUAAUACACUGACAGAUUAAAUCAACCGAGAUGCACUCGUCAAAGAAUGCGCCGCCGCAGACCGGCCAUCGACGUCAAAGUACAAACGGGUCAAACAGUUAUGUAUGAGCGCAGAUAUCUUAACAUGGCAAUAGAAGGAACUGGUCGCCGCGCAGGUGACUCACCCGCUUCCAAAACUCAACAGAAAGGUUAAAACUGAGCCGUCCCGUCUGGCAGCGCCUAGUCUGUGCCGGCCGAGCCGCGUGCGCGCCGCGUGUGCGCCGCGUGUGCGCCGCAAGCACAGCGCUAGUUGUUGCAGCCGCGCCGGCGGGCCACGACCGCUCCCGCCGCCACUUCUGCAAUCAUACGACUACUAAAAUAUUGUUUAAUAUUCAUUUUGUUUGGCAAUGAAAAUCUACAACAAACUUCCGAAUAAUCUACAAGAGAAGCCUUGCUGGCUAAUUAUCUAUAAUCACUAUCUUUGACAUAUGCCAGUUGACACAUACGAAAUUGAGAUUCUAUGUAACAAAUGUCAUCCGGUACCUUCUGGUGGAUAUCUUACAGUAGGUAGUUGACAUUUUGUCAAUUGAUUUGAUAUUUAUUUUAAUAGGUUGAUAAUAAAGACCAAACAUGGACAUG